GACGAACGCUGGCUGCGUGCCUAAUACAUGCAAGUAGAACGCUGAAGAGAGGAGCUUGCUCUUCUUGGAUGAGUUGCGAACGGGUGAGUAACGCGUAGGUAACCUGCCUUGUAGCGGGGGAUAACUAUUGGAAACGAUAGCUAAUACCGCAUAACAAUGGAUGACACAUGUCAUUUAUUUGAAAGGGGCAAUUGCUCCACUACAAGAUGGACCUGCGUUGUAUUAGCUAGUAGGUGAGGUAACGGCUCACCUAGGCGACGAUACAUAGCCGACCUGAGAGGGUGAUCGGCCACACUGGGACUGAGACACGGCCCAGACUCCUACGGGAGGCAGCAGUAGGGAAUCUUCGGCAAUGGGGGCAACCCUGACCGAGCAACGCCGCGUGAGUGAAGAAGGUUUUCGGAUCGUAAAGCUCUGUUGUAAGUCAAGAACGAGUGUGAGAGUGGAAAAUUCACACUGUGACGGUAGCUUACCAGAAAGGGACGGCUAACUACGUGCCAGCAGCCGCGGUAAUACGUAGGUCCCGAGCGUUGUCCGGAUUUAUUGGGCGUAAAGCGAGCGCAGGCGGUUUGAUAAGUCUGAAGUUAAAGGCUGUGGCUCAACCAUAGUUCGCUUUGGAAACUGUCAAACUUGAGUGCAGAAGGGGAGAGUGGAAUUCCAUGUGUAGCGGUGAAAUGCGUAGAUAUAUGGAGGAACACCGGUGGCGAAAGCGGCUCUCUGGUCUGUAACUGACGCUGAGGCUCGAAAGCGUGGGGAGCGAACAGGAUUAGAUACCCUGGUAGUCCACGCCGUAAACGAUGAGUGCUAGGUGUUGGAUCCUUUCCGGGAUUCAGUGCCGCAGCUAACGCAUUAAGCACUCCGCCUGGGGAGUACGACCGCAAGGUUGAAACUCAAAGGAAUUGACGGGGGCCCGCACAAGCGGUGGAGCAUGUGGUUUAAUUCGAAGCAACGCGAAGAACCUUACCAGGUCUUGACAUCCCGAUGCUAUUUCUAGAGAUAGAAAGUUACUUCGGUACAUCGGUGACAGGUGGUGCAUGGUUGUCGUCAGCUCGUGUCGUGAGAUGUUGGGUUAAGUCCCGCAACGAGCGCAACCCCUAUUGUUAGUUGCCAUCAUUCAGUUGGGCACUCUAGCGAGACUGCCGGUAAUAAACCGGAGGAAGGUGGGGAUGACGUCAAAUCAUCAUGCCCCUUAUGACCUGGGCUACACACGUGCUACAAUGGUUGGUACAACGAGUUGCGAGUCGGUGACGGCAAGCUAAUCUCUUAAAGCCAAUCUCAGUUCGGAUUGUAGGCUGCAACUCGCCUACAUGAAGUCGGAAUCGCUAGUAAUCGCGGAUCAGCACGCCGCGGUGAAUACGUUCCCGGGCCU
rnacentral:rRNA from 1 species